GACGAAUCUGAUGAGGAAAGUCCGGCCUGCGACGGGGAGGCCUCAGAUUGCAGUUCGGCCAAAUCCGGUGCAGGUGUGGCCGCUUGCAACGGGUCCUCGGAAGCAGACCGCGUAAUGCGAGAGCUGUUGCGCAAGGGUG
rnacentral:ribozyme from 9 species